rnacentral:rRNA from 1 species
UGCGGAAGGAUCAUUGUCGAUGCCCCGCCCCACGAACGGAACGACCCGCGGACCGGUUUUGAGAACACCGCCGCCGUCGGGGCCGCGCGCCCGGACGGCACAACGACCAACCCCCGGCGCCAGUCGCGCCAAGGAAACGUAAAGAACGCGGGCGCGCGCGCGCGACCCCGGGCGCCCGGCCUCGGGAUCCCGUCCGGGGAGCGCCGCCGCGCCACGGGUAUGCCACGCAUACACAAAACGACUCUCGGCAACGGAUAUCUCGGCUCUCGCAUCGAUGAAGAACGUAGCGAAAUGCGAUACUUGGUGUGAAUUGCAGAAUCCCGCGAACCAUCGAGUCUUUGAACGCAAGUUGCGCCCGAAGCCAUCCGGCCGAGGGCACGCCUGCCUGGGCGUCACGCAACGUCGCCCCCAGCCCAUCGCGGGCGGGGCGGAGGAUGGCCUCCCGCGAGCACCCGUCUCCCGGAUGGCCGAAACGCGAGCGCGAGACGGCAGUCGCCACGAUCCACGGUGGGAGGAGCGGAACUCGCUCGCUCGAGACCGGCCGUGCGCGAGCUGCCGCCGCGCGGGACCCACGGGCGCCGCGGGCGCUCCCGACGCGACCCCAGGUCAGGCGGGGACACCCGCUGA